rnacentral:tRNA from 1 species
GCCUGGGUGGCUCAGUCAGUUAAGUGUCUGACUUCAGCUCAGGUCAUGAUCUUGCAGUUUGUGAGUUCGAGCCCUGCUUCAGGCU